AUUGAACGCUGGCGGCAGGCCUAACACAUGCAAGUCGAGCGGAUGAAGGGAGCUUGCUCCUGGAUUCAGCGGCGGACGGGUGAGUAAUGCCUAGGAAUCUGCCUGGUAGUGGGGGAUAACGUCCGGAAACGGGCGCUAAUACCGCAUACGUCCUGAGGGAGAAAGUGGGGGAUCUUCGGACCUCACGCUAUCAGAUGAGCCUAGGUCGGAUUAGCUAGUUGGUGGGGUAAAGGCCUACCAAGGCGACGAUCCGUAACUGGUCUGAGAGGAGGAUCAGUCACACUGGAACUGAGACACGGUCCAGACGCCUACGGGAGGCAGCAGUGGGGAAUAUUGGACAAUGGGCGAAAGCCUGAUCCAGCCAGGCCGCGUGUGUGAAGAAGGUCUUCGGAUUGUAAAGCACUUUAAGUUGGGAGGAAGGGCAGUAAGUUAAUACCUUGCUGUUUUGACGUUACCAACAGAAUAAGCACCGGCUAACUUCGUG
rnacentral:rRNA from 1 species